rnacentral:rRNA from 1 species
UACGAAGGGUGCAAACGUUGCUCGGAAUUAUUGGGCGUAAAGCGCACGUAGGCGGCAUUGCAAGUCGGAUGUGAAAUCCCUCGGCUUAACCAAGGAAGUGCAUCCGAAACUGCAGUGCUUGAGUACUUAAGAGGAUCGCGGAAUUCCCGGUGUAGAGGUGAAAUUCGUAGAUAUCGGGAGGAACACCGAUGGCGAAGGCAGGUCUCUGGGCUAACACUGACGCUCAUGCACGAAAGCGUGGGGAGCAAACAGG